GUUUUUAUAGCUUAACUAAAGCAUAGCACUGAAAAUGCUAAGACGAGCCCUAAUACAGGCCCUUUAAACA
rnacentral:tRNA from 1 species